rnacentral:RNase_P_RNA from 2 species
AAUUUCAGGUAAUCGCGGGUAUAUGCAUAUACCUGAGGAAAGUCCAUGCUCGCACAAGCUGAAACGCUUGUAGUGUUCGUGUUUAGCGAAAAAAUAAGCUAAAGCAUUCAUUUGACGGCAACUGAACCCACUAAGGUCACUGGACUAUGUGCAAGUAAGUUUGAAAGUGCCACAGAGACGAGUCAACUAUGAAAAUAGUUGAAUGGAACGCGGUAAACCCCUCGAGCGAGCAACCCAAACAUUGGUAGGGGCGCUCUUUGACUGGAAAUAAACGGAAUAAGAGACUAAAUGAUUUAGUAGACAGAUGAUUACCGAACCGGUAUUAAACCUGUGAUAUCGGGGAACAGAACAUGGCUUAUCGAA